rnacentral:ncRNA from 1 species
GGGCAGCCGCGGAAAAUGGUUCAGGGAGCAAGAACAAGGGCGUGGGCAUCAAAUUUGGGUUCAAAUAUCACACGGAAGAUGAAAGAACACCUGAGCUGGUUGACGUUUGAAAACCCCCAUCCGGAUUUAUAACUCAUUCAUGAAAAAAUGAGGUUUUUGUUUUCUUUUUUCCUUUUACCAUUCUUGUUCCAUUGUUGUUAUUUGCUUUAAUCCUGUAUUUUACCGCCGGCAAUUCCAUUGUUAUUAUUACUGUUACUGUUAUUAUUGUUACUAUUGUUUUUACUUUUACUUACUACUGUUAUUAUACUUUAAUUCGUUAACUUACGUUAUUGUUACCACUACUUACUUUGCUCUCUCGCAAACGUUCGUUGUUGUUUCUUUUGGACCAGGUUUAGAGAAAUCGCACGCACAGCGGAACUGGACCGCUUAAGCCAGAAAUAGUAAAGUAACAGUAACAAUAGCCAAAUGCCUCGUCAUCUAAUUAGUGACGCGUAUGAAUGGAUCAACAAGAUUCCUUCUGUCCCUAUCUACUAUCUAGCGAAACCACAGCCAAGGGAACGGGCUUGGCAAAAUCAGCGGGGAAAGAAGACCCUGUUGAGCUUGACUCUAGUCUGACUCUGUGAAGAGACAUGAAAGGUGUAGCAUAGGUGGGAGAUUGUCAAUUUGCCAUCGUUCACGCGAUGGUCCGGUGAUCGCCCAAUGAAAUACCACUACUUUGAUCGUUUCUUUACUUUAUUUCGGUAAAGCGAAAAAAUUGUGGGCCAUUUUGGCGGGCGUUUAUGUCGCU